rnacentral:rRNA from 1 species
UGGGGAAUAUUGGACAAUGGGCGAAAGCCUGAUCCAGCCAUGCCGCGUGAGUGACGAAGGCCUUAGGGUUGUAAAACUCUUUCGUCGGGGACGAUAAUGACGGUACCCGAAGAAGAAGCUCCGGCUAACUUCGUGCCAGCAGCCGCGGUAAUACGAAGGGAGCUAGCGUUGUUCGGAAUCACUGGGCGUAAAGGGCGCGUAGGCGGCUCGAUAAGUCGGAUGUGAAAUUCCGGGGCUCAACCCCGGAGCGGCAUUUGAAACUGUCGAACUAGAGUACAGUUAGGGUAAACGGAAUUCCACGUGUAGCGGUGAAAUGCGUAGAUAUGUGGAAGAACACCGGUGGUGAAGACGGUUUACUGGGCUGUAACUGACGCUGAGGCGCGAAAGCAUGGGGAGCAAACAGGAUUAGAUACCCCAGUAGUCCCUGAGCGGGCUGGCAAGGCGCAU